rnacentral:misc_RNA from 1 species
GAUGAAGAACGUAGCAAGAUGCGAUAAGUAAUGUGAAUUGCAGAAUUCAGUGAAUCAUCGAAUCUUUGAACGCACAUUGCGCCCGCUGGUAUUCCGGCGGGCAUGCCUGUUCGAGCGUCAUUUCAACCCUCAAGCCCCCGGGUUUGGUGUUGGGGAUCGGCUCUGCCCUUCUGGGCGGUGCCGCCCCCGAAAUACAUUGGCGGUCUCGCUGCAGCCUCCAUUGCGUAGUAGCUAACACCUCGCAACUGGAACGCGGCGCGGCCAUGCCGUAAAACCCCAACUUCUGAAUGUUGACCUCGGAUCAGGUAGGAAUACCCGCUGAACUUAAGCAUAUCAAUAAGCGGAGGA